UCUUCGAUGGUCUAGUGGUCAUGAUUUCCGCUUGUCAGAGCUGUACAGCUUACAAGCGCGGGAGACCGGGGUUCGAUUCCCCGUCGGAGAG
rfam:Pyrenochaeta sp. DS3sAY3a unplaced genomic scaffold IQ07scaffold_7, whole genome shotgun sequence.